rnacentral:misc_RNA from 1 species
AACCUAGCACACCUGCGGUGUGUACCUGCGGAGGGAUCAUUACCGAGUUUACAACUCCCAAACCCCUGUGAACAUACCUAUACGUUGCCUCGGCGGAUCAGCCCGCGCCCCGUAAAACGGGACGGCCCGCCCGAGGACCCCUAAACUCUGUUUUUAGUGGAACUUCUGAGUAAAACAAACAAAUAAAUCAAAACUUUCAACAAUGGAUCU